AGAUUGAACGCUGGCGGCAUGCCUAACACAUGCAAGUCGAACGGGAGUAGCAAUACUCUAGUGGCGGACGGGUGAGGAAUACGUAGGAAUUUGCCCUUAAGUGGGGGAUAACCCGGGGAAACCCGGAUUAAUACCGCAUGACCUCGAAAGAGCAAAGUGGGGGAUCGCAAGACCUCACGCUUUUGGAGAAGCCUACGUCGGAUUAGCUAGUUGGUGAGGUAAUGGCUCACCAAGGCGACGAUCCGUAACUGGUCUGAGAGGAUGAUCAGUCACACCGGAACUGAGACACGGUCCGACUCCACGGAGCAGCAGUGGGAAUA
rnacentral:rRNA from 1 species